rnacentral:rRNA from 1 species
UGCCUCAGUAACGGCGAAGUGAAGCGGCAACAGCUCAAAUUUGAAAUCUGGCCCCCAGGCCCGAGUUGUAAUUUGCAGAGGAUGCUUUGGGCGCGGCGCCUUCCGAGUUCCCUGGAACGGGACGCCACAGAGGGUGAGAGCCCCGUCUGGUUGGAUGCCUAGCCUAUGUAAAGCUCCUUCGACGAGUCGAGUAGUUUGGGAAUGCUGCUCUAAACGGGAGGUAUAUGUCUUCUAAAGCUAAAUAUUGGCCAGAGACCGAUAGCGCACAAGUAGAGUGAUCGAAAGAUGAAAAGCACUUUGAAAAGAGGGUUAAAUAGUACGUGAAAUUGUUGAAAGGGAAGCGCUUACGACCAGACUUGGGCCCGGCGGAUCACCCGGCGUUCUUCGCCGGGGCACUCCGCCGGCCCAGGCCAGCAUCGGUUCGCCUUGGGGGAUAAAGGCGGUGGGAACGUAGCUCCCUCGGGAGUGUUAUAGCCCGCCGUGUAAUACCCUGCGGCGGACCGAGGACCGCGCAUCUGCAAGGAUGCUGGCGUAAUGGUCGUCAGCGACCCGUCUUGAAACACGGACCAAGGAGUCGUCUUCGUAUGCGAGUGUUCGGGUGGAAAACCCCUACGCGUAAUGAAAGUGAACGCAGGUGAGAGCUUCGGCGCAUCAUCGACCGAUCCUGAUGUUCUCGGAUGGAUUUGAGUAAGAGCAUACGGGGCCGGACCCGAAAGAAGGUGAACUAUGCCUGUAUAGGGUGAAGCCAGAGGAAACUCUGGUGGAGGCUCGCAGCGGUUCUGACGUGCAAAUCGAUCGUCAAAUAUGGGCAUGGGG